UAGCAGUCUGACCUGGGGCAACUUGUUAGUUGUCCGCUUCUCUUGCCUUGUCUGAGUUUUCAAAGCAACAUCUAAAGGCAUGAUAUCUGCACAGCCGGUAGCACCUCCAGGAGGGCAGAGGAGAACUGAUCCUCACAGGCUGUCUUUUCCAUGCUCCUACGUGUUCUGUGUGUGACCAGUGGGAGGCAUAGACUAC